UAAGACACAGUAAGGUGGAUGAAAAACUAAGAUGAAGGAGGAAAACGGAGGAAGGAUGGAGAAACAGCAACAGGAACUUGUUUUAGUUUUAAGGCCAGAGUGGACCAUUAUGAUCAUCUAGUAUGACCUCCUGUAUAACAUAGGUCAUAACAUUGUUAGUGAUUCCUGCAUCAAACCCAUAACUUCUAUCUGAGCUACAGCAUAACUUUUAGAAAGCUAUCUAAUCUUGAUUUAAAGACCACACAUGACUGCUCCAUGUCUCUAGGUCAAAUUCUGAAGUCAAUGGGAUGACUUGUUUACACACAGAUUGUAAGCUCUUUGGAUCAGAGACUGGGUCUUUUUGUCAGAAGGUGAAUGGGGAAACAGAGACACUGUGAAGUGAAGUAACCUGCCGAAAUCACACAGUAGACCAGCAGCAGAUCUAGGAAUAUAACAGUGCUUCUGACUUCCAGUCCAGUGCUCUGUUCACUAAACUACACUGCACUCAGUAUCAGUAUUAUUUAAUUCCAGGCUGCUGCUGAAUCUUUAAAGACUUGACCUUCAGAAUUUCAGAAUCUGCACUGUGAUGCAAUUGAGCAACAGUGAAACACCAACAGGUUAUGAUAAGAUGAGAUGGAAUUUUAUUGCUAAACUGAACCAUAGAGUAUCUAAGGAAUUCUACAUGACUCUUUGUUUUCGUGAAGCUUAAUUAUUGCAAAAUUGCCUAUCUGCAAAAUACAGCUACAUUCAAGUACUGAAUUCGAGAGUAAAGCAUGAACAAAGAGAAGAGGCUUCCCACGAGAUGUCUCUACAGUCUGUACAGAGAGGCACAAAUGUAAGCACAUUAAAAAAAAAAAGAAAAAGAUCAGACACA